GCGAGAAAGACUUUUCUGGAGAAAAAUGUGGUGUAAAGGCAGAGGAAAACUUUUUUUUUGUUUUUUAAUCUUAUUUACCUAUUCAUGAGAGACACAGAGAGAGAGAGGCGGAGACAGAAGCAGGCUCCAUGCAGGGAGCCUGACAUGGGACUCGACCCCAGGUCUCCAGCAUCACGCCCUGGGCUGAAGGCGGUGCUAAACCGCUGGGCCACCCGGGCUGCCCGAGGCAGGGGAAAUUUUUGAUUGGCUCCGACUCAAGCACUUGCCUUAUUUGGGAAAGCGUCGUUGGCGGUUUGCUGUGGUGGUUUGCGAUUUACUUUGAGGCCCGCUGGGCUUAAAUUUUGGGUUGCUGACCUCGGCUACUAAGGUAUCAGCGCCUUCAGGCUGAGGGCCUCCUUGUUCGAUUAAUUUAACACAUUGUUACAUAGUUUUGUUUUAAAUAUAUAUAUAUUUUAAGAUUUUAUUUAUUCAUUUGUGAGAGACACAGAGAGAGAGAGAGAGAUCUCCAGAGACACAGGCAGAGGAAGAAGCAGGCCUCACGCGGGAAGCCGGAUGUGGGACUCGAUCCAGGGUCUCCAAGAACUUGCCCUGGGCUGAAGGCAGCGCUAAACCGCUGAGCCACCAGGGCUGCCCCUCCCCCCCCCUUUUUAAUAGCUUUCAGAGCAUUUUUUUUUUUUUCCAUUUUAAAGAUUUUAGUUAUUUAUUCAUGAGAGACAGGCAGAGACACAGGCUGAGGGAGAAGCAGGCGGGAGCCGGAAGCCAGGACUGGAUCCCGGCCCUCCGGGGUCACGCCCUGAGCCCCCACGGCAGACGCUCAGCCGCUGAGCCACCCCGUGCCCCUCAGAGCACUUUUGCUACCACGGUCUUAGUAAGAGAUUUGAAACUAUUGCUUUGCUGAAAAUAUCUGGCUGCCAGCCUAACAGAAUGUGACUGUUAAGGUAAUAACUGUGGUUUUUCCACUUUAGAGACCCCUUCAUCCCAAAGGUUCUUGGGUCCCCACUCAGCGUAAGCCUUAAGACUAUCUCUGGGAGUGUUUUCUUCUUAGUACAGUACCUUUGUGGGUAUGUGUGUGUGAGCUGCAAGGUGUACAGUUUUCUGAGUGGUGGGGGAGGCUGACAUGCAAGGGAGGGGAAAGAGGCAAUGUUAAUGUUGAGGAGCGCUUUUGUGUGCCCACUUUGGAAAUACUUCCCCUUAUCUUUCAUUCAGAAUGCAAGGGAUAAGGCAAAAGUGCAGGCCACAACCGAGAGAUUUUGAAUUAUGCAUUAAGCUGAUAAUGCUCCAGAAUGCAAGCUUGUGUCAAUAAAUAACUAGGCUGGUAGGAGGAAGGAGGUCA
rnacentral:lncRNA from 1 species